CACGUAGGGCGCAAGCGUUGUCCGGAAUUAUUGGGCGUAAAGGGCGCGUAGGCGGCCCUCUUUGUCGCGUGUGAAAGCCCCGGGCUCAACCUGGGAACGGCGCGCGAAACGGGGGGGCUGGAGUUCGGGAGAGGAGAGUGGAAUUCCCAGUGUAGAGGUGAAAUUCGUAGAUAUUGGGAAGAACACCGGUGGCGAAGGCGGCUCUCUGGACCGAGACUGACGCUGAGGCGCGAAAGCGUGGGGAGCAAACAGG
rnacentral:rRNA from 1 species